rnacentral:lncRNA from 1 species
UUCAAAUACUUUGAUUCACAUGUGUAUUGUUGAUGUGAUUUAUCUCUCUUGUAAUACUACCCAUUUACAGUUUGUAAAACUAGUUAUUACUAUUCUAUACUUUUACUACAAUCGGACCAUGGAAAAAAACUUUUCCCGGCCACCUGCUGCAACUUCAGUUAUGUUCUAUCCCGAGGAAAAUAAUAUCGUUAUCGUUGGCAGGGAGGAUGGCUCUACACUAAUCUAUGGUGUUCAGAAAGAUAUGGUCUUUAUCUAUAUAUAUUGAAAUCUAAGUGUUGUCCAUUAAAAAAGAAUUAUCAUUUAGCUAUAAUGUUCUUAUUAUCUAUUUGGCUUAUAUAGAUGAUUGCCAAGAUAAUGCUCUUAUUAUCUAUUUGGCUUAUAUAGAUGAUUGCCAAGAUAAUGCUCUUAUUAUCUAUUUGGCUUAUAUAGAUGAUUGCCAAGAUAAUGCUCAUCAGAAGAGAGUGACUGGCCUUGCUUAUUCUAGUGCAUUGAAUAUCCUUUUAUCGUCUGGAUAAGAUGCUCAGGCACAUUUUUAAAGUGGAAGGCUAAUAGAAGAUAUCAGAUGCAUCGGCAUAUUUCUGUCAAGUGUCACCAGGACCCAAGACAUUUGUUGGUUGUACAUGAAAGUUGUAUAGCCACUCCUGAGAUACCUAAUCUCGAGCCCUGCAAGCAGGUAUCUACAAAUUAUUUGCAGUGUUGACAAUUAAUUUAUAUGCUUUGUUGAAUAUAACAACAUGCUUAAUUCACCCACGCUUUAUUAGACCUUAUUUGAAAGAGGUCGGGGUGAUCAUUUUGGGUGCAACUAUAAUGUGUAUUAAUGAUCAAGCACAUAACAAAUAUAUAUUAAUUGUGUGUGUACAUAUAUACCUACAUGAACACAAUCAUAUUCGACAGAACUUGACAUUGAUUUUUCUAAAAUAGCCCCUGGUUCAAUAUCAUGUCGCUCCGCUAUUUAGAGAUCUAAGUUCUUCAUGACAGAAGAAAAUUCUUAAGCUCUUUAAAUAUUUCUUUCAGUAGAUUCCCCGGGAAUUGAUCAGUGAUGCUGCAUACAUAUUCAUGUGAUGGCCAGUCUAUAUAUGCCUGCUUUCUUAACAGGCACAUUGUUUCCUUGGACUCAGCAUCUUUGACCAUAAAAUUUUUUAUCAAUCCGAGUGCAUAUUUUACCUUCUAAUUAAAGGUACGUGUUAUGUUUAAUUAAAAUGUAUCCUGAAAAUAUGAGCUUAUUAGCGAUAACACCCACUUGACUAUUGGAAGCUGCCUUCUAUAUUAUAUCUACAGCCGGGUGAUGUCUGCUUCUACUCUUGCGGCUAAUCCUACAAAACACAAUCAGUUUGCUCUCGGGCUUAGUGAUGGUGGCGUACUAGUUAUAGAACUUGAGGAAGAGGAUAUUGGGGUUGGCAUUGUAGCACGCCUUAGCUUGAGACCAGCAACACCUGAGAACUUAAUAUGAGCUUUUGUGAGAAUCAGAGCCCAGUGUCUCUUGAAAUCUAUAUGUUUUAAAACAUACAUCUAGGGAUUGGAUUAGUGCAAGAGUUCUGAAGUUUUUUUUUUUUGGUUGACUAUGUUAAGUGAUGAAUGUUCAAUGCAAAUAUACACCUAGUGCGGAAUUUGAAAUGAGAAUUGUCAACAGAGUAUGAAAAUGAGAUAAGAAAGACAAUAUUUUGCGAGAUACAAUGUUUCACUUAUACAACCUGUAAUUUUCAAUGCAAAUAUACACGUAGCUUCCCAAUUUCAAAAGAGAAUUAUCAAAACAAAUAUGCAAAUAUACAUGCUUGACUAUGUUGAUUGAAAUUUUUUUAAUUCAAAUAUACAUGUAGAAGCAGAAUAUGAACUGAGAACUGUCAUCACAGUAUGAAAUAUGAAAAUAAUAAAAGAAAUUCAAUAUUUUGGUAUUCGGGAUGUCCGAUACCACACAUUUCCGAGUAUUGGAUUUGGCAUUAUCGAAAAUUCCGGACACAGUUACAAUAUCCAAGUUAAUUUUGGACAUGGAUACGGUGACGUAGCGAAUUUUAAAAUAAUUAUUUAUUUUCAUUUGAGAAAUAAAUAAAUAUAUAUAUAUAUAUAUAUAUAUAUAUUUCAUUAUUUUUUAGCUGAAAAUGUGCAUUUGAUUGAUUUAUAAAAUCCAAAAAUUAACAACUAUAACAAAUGUAUUAAACAUUUUUCUUGCCAAUAUUCAUGUAAGCAAAAAUUAUGCACAACAAAAUAAAAAAAGGGAAAAAGGAAACAGCCUGGAUAAUGAAUGUGGACUUAAAAAAGUCCGAAUACAUUUUUAAUAUAUAAUACAUCUCAAUACAUGUAUUCCUCCAUCUUUUCACCCUUUUACUAUCAUCUUAUUCAUUUCUCUCCACCUUUUCACCACUUCUCAUCUUCUUCUUCCUGUUCCCCAUCUUUCAUAACAUCGCUUCUUACACAAUUCGUUCUGUAAUUCUCAAUGAUCUUUGAUUUUGAUUUCUCUGGUAACCAUCGACUUUUCCGAUGAUGAAUGGGCUGUAUAGAGCUUUCAACGGAGCAGUCCGGCCUCUAUCUGUUAGGAGGAGAAAGGUAUUUACUGGAAGGAAAAACAGAAUAAUAUAUUUCUUGAUAAUUGGCUUCACAUAACAAAAUGAUUUUAGAGCUUAUUAUCUAUAGCUCUACUAUAUCAGAUACAUGAUUGCAUAAUAAGUACUAGAUACAUAAAUUAUCAAUAAAUGAAACUCCUGGUCUUUUAUUAUUCAUGACAUAUAUCUGAAACUUAUGGUCUUCCUUUAUUCAGCUACUAACCCUUCAACUCCAACUAGCUAGGUUGAUAUCUCAUGACUCAUGACUAGCUCCUGAUGGGUCAAGUUUAACUUUCAACACCCCCUCUUAAACUUGAUCUUCCUUUCCAACUCCAAUCCAAGCUCGGAGUCUGAAAAAAUCUUCAAACUUUAAGGGUUUUGUAAAAAUGUCGGCGAUCUGAUCAUUUGUCUUCCUCCACUUCUUUAUUUUCAACACAUUCCCUUAUGUAAUGAUAUUUGGUGUCUAUGUGUUUACUACGGUCGUGAAACACUGGGUUCUUUGCCAGAGCAAUUGCAGACUUAUUAUCAACAUAUAUCGAUGUUGCCUUCUCUUGAGGAACUUGAAUCAUCUUUAACAGCCUUCUUAGCCAUAUUGCAUGACAAACACAUGACGCAGCAAAAACAUACUCAGCUUCACAAGUGGAGAGAGUCACUAUAGGCUGUUUUUUUUUGAACACCAUAUAAAAGCAGUAUCUCCCAGAAAGAAUAUGAAGCCAGUGGUGCUUUUUCUAUCAUCAAUAUCUCCUCCCCAGUCGCUAUCACUAUAGCCAUACAAUUCAAAUUUUUUUGAUGGAAAAUAAGUAACACCAAAUUCAAGCGUACCUUUGAUAUAGCGAAGUAUCCUCUUGGCCAACCUCAAAUGAGUCAGAGUAGGUGCUUCCAUAAAUCUACUUAUCAAACCAACUCCAUAAAGGAUAUCCACGUCAAGUAUCUGAGACUUCCUACUAAACUUUUAUAAAAUGUUGGAUUGCAAUUUUCCAUUCCAAAAUUUUUGAGAAUUUUUUGUGCAUAAGCUUUCUGUGAAACAAAGAUCUGGUUUUUCUUUUGUCUUAUUUCCAUUCCCAAGUAGUAUGACAUGAGACCAAGAUCUGUCAUUUUGAACUCCAGUGUCAUUGCUUUCUUGAAUUCUUCGAUCAUCUGAGCAUUAUUUCCUGUGAAUAUUAAGCCAUCCACAUACAAACACACCAACAUAAAACCUGCAUUUUCAUCAUUUUUAACAUAUAGCGCAUGCUCAUCUGGACACUUGACAAAUCCAUGAUCUCGAAAAUAUUUAUCAAUUCGAUUAUACCAUGCUCGGGACGCUUGUUUGAGCCCGUACAACGCCUUCUUUAACUUUAAGACUUUAUCUUCAUGACCUUUAACAACGUAUCCUUCAGGUUGUUGAAUGUAUACAUCCUCUUCGAGAUAGCCGUUUAAAAACGCUGAUUUCACAUCCAUUUGAAAUAUAUUCCACAUAUUUUGAGCAACCAUAGAAAUGAUUAAUCUAAUGGUUUCCAAGCGUGCAACAGGAGCAAAAACUUCUUCAUAGUCAAUUCCUUGCUUCUGACUAUAUCCCUUGGCGACGAGUCUCGCUUUAUUUUUUAUUACAUCUCCUUGUGCAUUCCUCUUCACCUUAUACACCCAUUUCUUGUGCAUUCCUCUCCACCUUAUACACCCAUUUCACGCCAACUGUUUUAUGACCUCUAGGAAGUGUAGUGAGCUCCCAUGUAUCAUUCCGUUUGAUUGCUUCGAUUUCCUCAUCCAUUGCAAGCUUCCAAUCUUUAUCCAUCUUAGCACUUUCAAAAUGCAGUGGUUCUGUUUCAGAGAACAAACAAAAGCAGCUCGGAUUGUCAUCGACAUAAAAACUUGGAGUAUCAACCACAUUUGUUUCAAUAUAAAUAUCAGAAAGCCUUCUCGUAUGAAGUGGUUCUUCAGAGGAUUCAUCACUUGAUGAUGAUUGAGAAGCAUUAGGUGAAUGAGGUAGUGUGGCUAUAUUUUCUCCUUCAUUUGAAUUUUCUUCUUGUAGAGGAAAGACCACAAAAUCUUCAUCUUGAGGCACAUCCCAAUCCCAGCUAUUUUUUUCAUCAAACUGAGCAUUUCGACUAAUAAUAACUUUUCCAUUAACAGGAUUAUAAAAUUUGUGCCCCUUUGUACCUGGAUCAUAGCCGAUAAAAACCAUCUUCUCACUCUUAUUUUCAAGCUUUGAUCUUUUUUCAUCAGGAACAUGAAUGUAGGCUAUGCAUCCAAAGACACGCAAAUGUGAAACAUUAGGCUUUUUACCACUCGAGGCUUGUUCUGGUGUUGCGCCAUAAACACUCUUAGAUGCUGAUCUAUUUGAUAAAUACACUGCACAUGCUACUGCUUCAGCCCAAAAUUCCUUUGGCAUGUUCUUGCUUCUAAGCAUGCUACGAACCAUGUUCAAAAUGGUUCUGUUCUUUCGCUCCACAACUCCGUUCUGCUGCGGAGUUCUUGGCACAGUGAGAAAACGGCGAAUUCCAUUAUUUUUGCAAUACUGAUUAAAAUCAGUAGAAGUAAUUCUCCUCCUCGAUCUGUUCUCAAAGUUUGGAUAAAAUAUCCACUUUCCUUCUCAACAAGAGCUUUAAAUUGUUUAAAAAUUCCAAAAGCUUCAUCUUUAGUUUUCAAAAAAUAAACCCAUGUCUUGCGAGAAAAAUCAUCAAUGAAAAGUAAAAAAUAAUUUGCCUUACCAUAUGAUGCAGGUCUGAUAGGUCCACAAAUAUUGCAUGAACAUGCUCGAGAGGCUUAGUUGCUCGAAAAAUCGCCUUUUGUGGAAAACUUCUUCUUGUUUGUUUACCAAAGAGACAUCCUUCACACAGAUGAUUGGGAUGAUUGAUUUUUGGGAAUCCAUACACUAUUUUUGCAUUAGACAGCAACUUCAAACUUUCAAAAUUUAGAUGGCCAAAUCUCAAGUGCCAUAUCCAUGAAGUAUCUUCCACACAAGUUUUCAAGCAUUUUGGAUGAUCAACUUCAAUUUUCAACAAAAACAUUCUGUUUUUCUCCAUUGGAACUUUUGCGAUUAGCAAGUUUGAGUCAUUUCUCAAGGUUAGAUAAUUAUCUUUCAUGUGAAUAUUAAAACCCAUCUCAAGCAAUUGUCCCAAACUUAAUAUAUUUGUCUUUAAAUUAGAAACAUAAUAAACUUGAGAAAUUAAAAUAUGAUUUCCACUUCUGGAACGAAUAAGAACAUCACAUUUUCCUUUGAUUAGUGCUUUGGUGUCGUCUCCAAAGGUAAUAUUUCCUGAAGCCAUUGCACUAAAAGUUGAAAACAACUCUUUGUUUCCACUCAUGUGAUUUGCAGCACCUGUAUCAAGAUACCAAACAUUUUUAUCUUUUUCUUCUCUCGUUCCCAAUAAUAAGAGCAAUUCUUCAUCCUCCUUUGCUUCCACAUAGUUGGCUCGUUCAUCUUUUUUUAUCAUUAUUUGGGCUUCUGCAUUCAUUGGCGUAAUGACCAUAUUUUUGACAAGCAUAACAUUGAAUGCUUGUUUUGUCAUACCUUCUGCCUCUGCCUCUGCCUCUGUUAGCACUUUGACUCCCACGUCCUCUUGAGUAGCUCAUUGUUCUUUCAUUGCUAAAAUUCUGGCCUUCUGUAGAACAACCACGACCACGGCCACGACUAAAACUUGCAUGCCUUCCUCUGCCACGACCUCUUCCUUGUCCAUGAUUUUGACCUCUUUUUUGAAAUCGCUCCUCUUCUCUAUUUUCUCCAAAGGAGACCUUUGUUUGAAGAGCAUGAAAAUCAGGUUCUUCUUUCUCUAUUACCCUUUCUGCAUAAGCUUGUAAUGAUCCCAUGAGUUGAUCUACUUGCAUGGUAUCAAUGUCGUUUGCCUCUUCAAUGGUGACUCCAACAAGUCGUAACUUGGUAUUAAGGGAUCUGAGAAUUUUCUCGUUAAUACGUACAUCAUCAACCUUUUCUCCAUAUUGCUUCAUUUGAUUCACUACUUGUGAUACUCUUGUGAAGUAAUCUUGGACUGAUUCAGUCUCCUUCAUUUUUAAUGCUUCAAAUUCACCACGAAGAGUUUGAAGACGUACCUUUUUUACUUUGUCGAUUCCUUUAAAAUUAUUCUGUAAUAUUUCCCAGGCUUCUUUCGCUUUUCCUGCUGUAGCAACUUUCUCGAACAUGGCUUCAUCUAAGCCCAUGUGAAUGAUAGAGAGAGCCUGUUGAUCUUGCUUGCGGGCUUUUGCCAGGGCAUUUUUCUGAUUUUGAUUCAAAGCUCCUUCAUUCUCAGGUUCAUCAUAACCUUUUUCAACAAUAUCCCAGGCUUCCUGUGAGCCUAGCAAAGCUUUCAUACGGAGACACCAAUGACCAUAGUUUUCCUUUGUAAGUUUAGGAACAACAAAUGGAAAUGAAUUACUCAUUACUUUCUAAGCUCUGAUACCAAUCUGUUAGCAGGAGAAAGGUAUUUACUGGAAGCAAAAACAGAAUAAUAUAUUUCUUGAUAAUUGGCUUCACAUAACAAAAUGAUUUUAGAGCUUAUUAUUUAUAGCUCUACUAUAUCAGAUACAUGAUUGCAUAAUAAGUACUAGAUACAUAAAUUAUCAAUAAAUGAAACUCCUGGUCUUCUAUUAUUCAUGACAUGUAUCUGAAACUUAUGGUCUUCCUUUAUUCAGCUACUAACCCUUAAACUCCAACUAGGUUGAUAUCUCAUGACUCGUGACUAGCUCCUGAUGGGUCAAGUUUAACUUUCAACACUAUCCUGUUUCUUGUCUUGUGUCGUGUCGUGUCGACACGGGUACGUUGAACGGAAUAGGCGAGUCGGAGUAACACAGCUAAGCAAUGAAGAAAAUGCUUCAAAACUUGUGGUAAGAAUGUGAGAGUAUUUAAUUAUAUGAAAUCUUGAUAAUUAAAGACCGGAGUGUAUAUGAUGUAACAACUCUUGAAUGUCAUGAGGCUGAUGAUCAAGUGCCCCCUUAUUCCAAUGAUCCAGUGAUACUCUUUGGUAUCUCUGCUCCUUAUUUUAUCUGUCCUUUAAAGUAGGCAUUUCAUUCAGUUACUGAUUCUGCACCUAUACUGAUCUAUGAUGUUCAGAAAGGUAUGGUCUAUACUAAUCUAUGGUGUUCAGAAAGAUAUGGUCUUUAUCUAUACUGAUAUCUAAGUGUUGUGCAUUAAAAUAAAUUAUGAUUUAGUUAUUAAGUUCUUAUCAUCUAUUUGGCAUAUAUAGAUGAUUGCCGAGAUGCAUGCUCAUCAGAAGAGAGUGACUGGCCUUGCCUAUUCCAGUGCAUUAAACAUCCUUUUAUCGUCUGGAUAUGAUGCUCAGGUGCAUUUUUAAACUGGAAGGCGUAUAGAAGAUAUCAGAUCCAAAGUCACAUGACGCUAAUAAUCCUUUUGGUGUUGCAGAUCUGUGCUUGGAACAGAUUUGGAUGGACAGUUGUCUAGCCACGCUUGAGGGGCCUAACCUCGAGCCCUGCAAGCAGGUAUCUGCAAAUUAUUUGCAGUGUUUUCAAUUAAUUUAUAUGCUUUGUUAAGUAUCACAACAUGCUUCACCACCCUUUAUUAGACCAUAUUGGAAAGAGGUGAGGGUGAUCAUUUUGGGUGCAACUAUAAUGUGAAUUAAUGAUCAAGCACGGAACAAAUUAAUAAAUAUUAAUUGUGUGUGUACAUAUAUACCCUCAUGAACACAAUCCUAUUCGACAGAACUUGAUAUUGAUUUUUCUAAAAUUGCCCCUGGUGCAAUAUCAUGUCGCUCUGCUACUGAGAUUAACAAGUUUUUAACAACACAAAAAAAUUCUCAAACUCCUUAAGUAUUGUUUGCAGUGGAUUCCCGGGGAAUUGAUCGUCGGCGAUGCUGCAUAUUUAUGUGAUGGCCAGUCCAUAUAUAUUCCUUCCUUUUUAAAAGGCACAUUGUUUUCUUGGACUCGGCAUCAUUUACCCUCUUGACUGGAAGUUGCCUUCUGUAUAUUAUUUCUACAGCCAGGUGAUGUAUGCUUCUACUCUUGCGGAUAAUCCUACAAAACACAAUCAGUUUGCUCUCGGGCUUAGUGAUGGUGGCGUACUAGUUAUAUAUAGAAGAAGAGGAUAUUGGGAUUGCUUUGUAGCAUGCCUUAACUUGAGACCAGCAACAACUGAGAACUUGAUAUGAGCUCUUGUGAUAAUCAUAGCCCAGUGAUUCUUGAAAUCUAUAUGUUUUAAAACAUAAAUCUAGGGAUUGGAUUAGUGCAAGGGUUUUGAAGGUGUUUUCUUACUUGACUAUGUUAAGUGUUAAAUUUUCAAUGCAAAUAUACACCUAUGUGUAGAAAUUGAAAUGAGAAUUGUCAACAGAGUAUGAAAAUAAGAAAAGAAACCAAUAUUUUGGCAUAUACAAUGUUCCACUUACAAAGCAUGUAACUUUCAAUGCAAAUAAACAUGUAGCCACCCAAUUUAAAAAGAGAAUUAAUGUCAACACAACAUAUAUGGAAAUAAUAAAAGAAACCCAAUAUUUUUGCUUGACUAUGUUAACCCAUAAAUUUCAAUGCAAAUAUAUAUGUAGCCACACAAUUUGAAAUGAGAACCUGUCAUCAUAGUAUGAAAAUAUUAAAAUAAUAAAAGAAACCCAAUAUUUUGAUAUGCACAAAGUUUCAAAAAAAAAAUUGUAAUUAGGAGCUAGUAUCCAACUCUUUCAUAUAAAUUCUAGGCCCACUAUCACCCUCAGGUCCAACAUACACAACACCCUUUUAGAUGUAUAAAAAACACCAUCACUUAAUAGGCCUCCAAAUGGAUCAGAUCUGAUCCGAGUCCAUAUUAAAUAUUCAUGAAUUUGUCUCAAAAUAAUUUCAUUGGCAAAUAUAAUGGGUUAUUUAUUGAAUCAAAUAUGGAUUUAGGUCCAUCGACCUGUCUAUGAUCCAACCCCAUCAUUAUAUAUAUAUAUAAAAUAAUAUUAAUAUAAUAUUUAAUACUUAUAUACUCAAUAUGUUAUUUCUCAUCCUAUAUUUGCACGUCUCUUAUCAAAUGGGUUAUUUAUUGAAUCAAAUAUGGAUUCUAUGUCUAAUAUGAGCUUACGUGUUAUUAGUGUCAAUGUAUUUGAUCUCAUUUUUGUAGGUUAUGUAUUACAAUGCUGAUGUGAGCAUAUUUAUUAUUUUAAUUUACACGAGUCAACAUGUUUGACUUUCUCUUUUAUUUAUUUUACCAGGCUCCUCUAAUUUGUCUUUUUAAGUUUAUAUGGUCGGUGCUCCUAAUUACCUAAACAUUAUGGGUGGUAAUGCUAGGAUUUCCAAUGAUAUAAUUUAAAUUCAUUCAAAGAAUUUGUACAAUUUUAUGUAGAUAGCGUAUUUACGUCCUUUAGGUAAUUUGAAAUCCUAAUUAUUGAAGAAAUUUCAGACUGUUAUUUAUAACUUAGUGUUUCUACCUUAUAAAUAUUAGUGUAUUUGUAAGGAUAGUGUUUCUACCUUAUACACAUUAGUGUCAUUUUAAGGAUAAAGAUGGCCACAUAAUUGAUUGUUUAGUAUACUUUUCAAAUGAAAUAUAAUGUUCACAUAAGUUUAGAAUUAUAGUUUUUACUAUUUAUAUAUUUUUUUUGUGGCCUACUUAACUCUUUUGGAUACGAGGCUGCUAAUCAAAUUCCUAAGCUUGUUCCAAAUAUGGAGGUGGUUAUAGGUAUUCAUCUAAAUCUCAACAUUAAUAUUUCAUAAAUUUCUUUGACUAAAAUUUUGUUUGAUGUUAAAUGGAGAACUUUUAAACAAUCCUUGGUAAUCUUUUGGAGAUACCUACAUAUACCGAAUAGGUAAAACACAGAUGGAAAAUUAUCACAAUGGUACCCUAAAGAUCGUUUUUCACAAAUAAGCUUUUAUAUGUUAUCUACUACUAUCGAUCUAUUUUCUUCCCAGGAAAUUUAUUACAAUGCUACUCAAUAGGAUUACUUAUGAGAAUUUUGUUCAUUCUUUAAGGCACGCAAAUAUUGUCAAUGUGCAAUUGUGCAUAUUAUUAUAAUUGCUUCAUAUGAUGAUGUCUCAUUUAUUGCUUGCCCAAAAAGAAUAUAUUGAAGCAACAUAGGUUUAAUUUGUGAUAUUUUGUUUUGUGUAUGUAAAUCACUUACUCCCCCUGUUUUUUUUUAUAUGUCACUUUUGACUUGGGCACGUAUCUUUAGGUGCAUUGACCGGCUAGCAAAAAUUAUUAUUUUUAAUUAAUUUUUUUUUUGAAUUAAAAUUUUGAUUAUAUAUUUUUAUUCAGAAAAAGAAAAUUUCAAAAAUAACACUUUUAACUACCCGGUCAAAGCACUUAAAAGUGUGUGCCAAAAAGUCAAACAUCAUAUAUUAGAAAACAGAGGGAGUAGUAUAUACCGGCCAUUCUUGGAUGUAUCUUUGAUUUACAUGUAAACUUUUGGAGUAAGAAUGUUAUCAUGGCUCAGUUAUUCAUUAUUUCAUUUGAUUGCUAGUAGAACAUUGUAGAUACUAUGUGGUCAGUGUCAUUUUUAUCCUAAUAUUUAAAUGCAAAAUUAAAAUCAUGUGUACAUUAUGAAUAUCACAUUAGGCUAUAGCGCAAAAUAAUUGAAUGACAUAUACAACAUGUGAGCUACUUGCAUAAGAUAGCUAUCAAAGACGACUUUUAUUUGGAACAUACUAGCCGAUUUAUUUCAAUAAGUGAACGCAACUUGUUGGGACAGCCAGCUAUAGAGUUCGGAACAUUACUAAGCUAGAGACCUGAUCUUAAUCAAUAUUCGACAGAAAUUUAUCAAUCCAAUUGCAUAUUUACCUUAACACGCACAUUGUUUUGGUGGCCUCGGCAUCAUUUUCCAUAAACUUUGUUAUCAAUCCGAUUGCAUAUAUAUACCUUCUAAUCAAAGUUACAUGUUAUGUUUACUUCCAAUGUAUCUCGAAAAUGUGAACUUAUAAGCAAUACAACCCUCUUGACGGGAAGUUGCCUUCUAUAUUAUAUCUACAGCCCGGUGAUGUAUGCUUCUAUUCUUGCGGCUAAUCCUACAAAACACAAUCAGUUUGCUCUCGGGCUUGGUGAUGGUGGCGUACUUGUUAAAGAACUUCGGAGGAUAUUGGAAAUGGCUAUGUAGCAUGCCUUAGCAUGAGACGAGCAACAAAUGAAAACUUGAUAUGAGCUUUUGUGAUAAUGAGAGCCGGGUGUCUCUUAAAAUCUAAAUGUUUUAGCACAUACAUGUACAGAUUGGAUUAGUGCAAGGGUUUUAAAGAUGUUUUUUUGCUUGACUACGUUAAUUGAUAAAUUUUCGAUGCGAAUAUAUUUGUAGCCGCACAAUUUGAAAUGAUAAUUGUCAAUAUAGUAUGAAAAUAACAAAAGAAAUCCAAUAUUUUGGCAUAUACAAUAUUUUACUUAUAAAGUGGGUAAUUAGAAGCUAGUAUCCAACCCAUUCAAAUAAAGCACAUGCCCACUAUCACCCUGAGGUCCAACAUACAAACACCCUGGUAGAUGUACGAAAAUCACAAAACACAUUUUAAAUGGACAUGGACUGAUUAGUUUCAAAAAAAUCGGAUCCAACAACAAUAAUCUAAUUAUUAAAUGGACCAUAUAUGGCUAUAGGUCAAUCUGAUCCGUCUAUGAUCGAACCCCAUCAGUAUAUGCAUAUAUAGAAGAAUAUUAAUAUAAUAUUUAAUAAUUAUAUACUCAUUAUGCUUCUCCGGUCUUAUUUAUGUAUGUCACUUAUAAAAAUCAAACAUUUAGAAAAAAUGAUACUGAAAUACUUAUAAUUCUAUUUUUAUAAUAAUAGUUUUGUUUCGACUUAAUUUAGUCAAACUAAUAAUUUUAAUCAACAAUUACAUAUUUUAAAAAACCAUGAAACCUUUUGGUAUAUAUUAUUUAAACGAAUAUUUGACCCAAGGAUAACCUAAAUUUUUUUUAAAAUUGGAUUAUGAAAUUGCAAAACAUAAUUAUUUAAUGGGAUCAAUACUUCCAAUUGACUAAGUAUGAGUCAAGGAUCCAUUGACAUAUAGUUCCAUAUUUAAAAAAAAAUAAAAAGCCAUUUAAGCACAAUAACUGCGUCAAGUGCUAUUUUUACCCAAGACUUUGCUACUCCGGGUCUUAUAAAUCAAAUACAUCAAUCCGCAAUAUUAGUACCCGCUCUCCAAUCCGAGUUGUUAAUAAUGCACGUAAGUGUGAUGAUACUGGGCUAUGCAGCUCUUUUAUGUGGAUCUUUAUUAUCCCUUAUGAAUUUCAAGGUACUCACUUUAAUUAAAAUUAAUAAUUACCGGAUUCUCAUUCGGGGAUAGACUACUCUAUAAUUUCACACUUUUUCUUGGGCAGUUUAUUUGUGAAAAUGUAUGUAUAGCCAAAAAUGGACCACAUCUCAAAUCGGGUCAAGUUCUAAUUGUUAUAAAAUUGUUUCUGUAGUAAUACGAUCCGCUAAGCCUUAUUUGGCCACCCCAGGAGCAACGAUUCAUGGCCAUUAUGGGAAAAUCCUUUACGAAAGAGAUACAUUGAUUACAUUUAUAUAUGAAAAAUUGCGAUCUCGUGAUAUAACACAAGGCCUUCCAAAAGUGGAACAGGUAUUAGAAGUGCGUUCGAUUGAUUCAAUAUCGAUGAAUCUCGAAAAGAGGGUCGAGGGUUGGCAUGAAUGUAUAACAAGAACUCUUGGAAUUCCUUGGGGGUUCUUGAUUGGUGCUGAGCUAACUAUAGUGCAAAUCGCUUUGGUUAAUUAUAAGAUCCAAAAAAAUUUAUCGUUCCCGGGGUGCAGAUCCAUAAUAGACAUAUAGAAAUUAUUGCAUGUACGUCAAAUAAUAUAAAAAUGUUUGGUUUCAGAAGAUGUGAUGUCUAAUGUUUUCUUACCCGAAACAAAGAAAUCAUAUGCAAGAACCAUAGCAUUUCGUCAUUUAUUGGUAAAUCCGCUUUGAUUCUCUAUCAACCGAAAAUGGGGGACCAUUAACAUAAACUACUCCCUCCGUCCCAAAAAGAGUGAGCUGGUUUGACUUUCACGGAGAUUAAGAAAAAGGUAGUAAGUUUAGUUGAAAAGUGGGUAAAGUGGUGGGACCUAUUAAUAUUUAAUAAUAGAUUUGAGAGAGUGGAGGAAAGUAGUGGGUGUAAUAGUGUUUAUUUAAUAAAAAGGGAGUAUAAAAUAGAGAGAUAGUGGGUGUAAUAGUGAAAAGUAGUGUUCAAAAAUAGUAAGUAUGAUAGGUUCAUUCUUUUUGGGACAUCCCAAAAAAGAAUAAGGGUCACAUAAAAUGGGAAAGAGGGAGUAUUGUUAAAGCUAAAUCGCUUGAAGUCCUGAUGCAACAUGUUACUCUAACAUUUAUUGCUUAGUCUAGCUUUUAUGGAAGCUUUAACAAUUUAUGGUCUGGUUGUAGCAUUAACACUUUUAUCUGCGAAUCCUUUUGCUCAAUUUAUAAUGUGAAGUUUAAAAGAAAAUCUUGUAUUCAAAGUAAUUUUGGAUUGAGUAUGAUGAAUAAAAGAUCUUCCUAUGUUAUACUUUUUAACUCGCGACAACGAAUUUAUUUGAUAGCCCACGAAUCCGAUUUGGUUAUUAGUAAAGCUAAAUCAGCGAGGGUACUGCCACGAAAAAAUUAAAACCUCGAGCUCGAGGGUGUAGUUUUACUAUAAAAAGACCUACUUGCCAUAUAGCUAUUAUUGUGAAAUAUAUAUGAUUAGAUGAAUAUCAAUAUCUAGGGGUAGACUUUAUUAUAGACUCUUUCCGAUGCUAAAAAAAACUUAAAUCGAUUGGGAUAAAGUUAUAUAUAUUUUUACAAUUUGACCAAUUUGAAUAUUAAAAUGUGUUCAAUAGUGGCAUAUAGUUAUUAUGAGUCAGAUUUAGCAAAAAAAAAAAAGUUAUUAUGAGUGAGGUAAAUGAGUGCUUCACUCCUUUAGUUAAAUAUAGCACUAUGUAAAAUUAUGUUUUUGUAGGUGAUAGUAAACAUAUAUUUCCUUAUAAUUUGUAUCUUCAAUGGAACUUUCAUUAGGAGAAUUAUUAUGAUAUAAUUUCUUUUUUGAUCUUAUAUAUUCAAUAACAAGUAUACGAUUAUAUGAUCAAUAUUUUCGACAAUUUUGACCAAAUUUACCUCCUAAAUUGCUCGCUAGAGACCGUCCAAUAUAAUUUUAUAGCAGAAUGUUUUGAUUGAUUAUAAUGAACACUUCUAAAAUUAUAUAUUGUUUUGAAUAAAAUCAUUAGGGUAAUCUAAUUUUGAAUACAUCAUCAUAAUAACUUGUAAUAUGUAAAUUUUCCUAGUCUUUAUUGAUCCUAAUGUAUUUGAUCUCAUUCUUGUAUCUAUUAUUUUAAUUCACUCCGGUCAAUAUGGUGCCUUGGUGCUAGUAAUUAACUAAAGAUUGUGGGUGGCAAUGCCAAGAGCAUCUAAUGAUAUUAUUUAAAUUCAUUCUAAAAAUUUGUACAAUCUUAUGUAGGUAGAGUAUUUAGGUCGGUUAGAAAAUUUGAAAUCCUAAUUAUGGAAAAAAAAUUUAGACUUUAAUUUAUACGAUAAGGUUAAUACCUUAUAAAUUACAUUAGUGUAACUUUAAGGAAAGUGUUUCCACCUUAUAGACAUUAGUGUAAUUUAAAAUAUAAGGAAGGCCGCAUAGUUCAUUUUUAGUGUAAUUUACAAAUAAAAGUUCACAUAAAUGUAGAAUUAUAGUUCUUACAUUUUACUCACUUCCCUUUUUAGUUGUCCCAUUUGGAUUUUAGUGUAAUUUACAAAUAAAAGUUCACAUAAAUGUAGAAUUAUAGUUCUUACAUUUUACUCACUUCCCUUUUUAGUUGUCCCAUUUGGAUUUGUGCCGGUAAAAUUGACCAAAGUUUGACUGAAAUUUAUUAAUAUUUUCUCAACUAAUAAAAUUAAAAAUAAAGUCAUCGGAAAUAAUUUUUAAUCUACUUUAAGAUGUAAUUUUUAGUUUUUAAUAUAAUGAAAGAGUGACUUAUAUAUAAUCUUUGGUCAAAAAUUAGUCAAUUUGACCGAUAAAAAAGGAAAUGUGAUCACUAAAAAGAGACGGAGGAAAAGUAAUAUUUUUAAGUGGCGUUACUCUAUAUCUACUAUAUGUAUUAUAAAAGUUAUUUAAUCAUGAGAAAAUUCUUUCAGUUUAAAAAGACUAUCUAACCCUUUUCAACACUGCUCGAGCGAAAGCAGAAUUUUUUAUUUAAAAUGACUGCUUUAUCCUUCAGGAGCUGAUUCGAACCUGGUUCCUAACCUUGGCUUUCAGAAGCAAUGUUCCACGCCCACACUGAAGCACCCGGUUCAUGCUCGACUCCUUCAGUCUUCCACGCCCACACUGAAGCACUGCAUUACUGCANAAUAUAAUGAAAGAGUGACUUAUAUAUAAUCUUUGGUCAAAAAUUAGUCAAUUUGACCGAUAAAAAAGGAAAUGUGAUCACUAAAAAGAGACGGAGGAAAAGUAAUAUUUUUAAGUGGCGUUACUCUAUAUCUACUAUAUGUAUUAUAAAAGUUAUUUAAUCAUGAGAAAAUUCUUUCAGUUUAAAAAGACUAUCUAACCCUUUUCAACACUGCUCGAGCGAAAGCAGAAUUUUUUAUUUAAAAUGACUGCUUUAUCCUUCAGGAGCUGAUUCGAACCUGGUUCCUAACCUUGGCUUUCAGAAGCAAUGUUCCACGCCCACACUGAAGCACCCGGUUCAUGCUCGACUCCUUCAGUCUUCCACGCCCACACUGAAGCACUGAUUCCACGAUGAUUAAGAGAAGUGAAUUUAUCUGAUUAACAAGUUUAUGUAUCUAGCUAUCUGAUUGUUUUAGAUCUGUUAAUUCUUCAUUUUGUGUGCUUUUUCUGUUUAUAUGUUCUGUUGUCGUCCCUAGAUGUUUGGAUUUUUGUUGUUUUUUUGGGUGAAUUAGGGUUUCGUGUGAUAUGAAUGUGUUGUUUUUGUUCAUACGUUUGGUUGAUUUGUGCUUGUGCUUUAUUCGUGUUCUAAAUGUUAAUUUGAGAACCAAAUGAAUUAAGAAUUGAAAACCUUUAGGUUUGUAUAGUUGUAACUGGUGAUUGGGAUGCAAUUCAGUAUUGAUAUGUAUUUGAAACGAAUUACUGAUAUGCAUCUGAGCAAAGAGUCGGGAGUGGUUGAUAUAAAUUUGUGUUCAACCUUUUCAGGUGAUCAGUAACAAGAAGUUACCCAAAUGAGGAUUCAUUAGACAAAUCCAUGGAGGUGAUAUUCAUUCCGAAUCUCGUCAUUUACGGCCAAUAUUAUAAAAUCCUGUGUCACUCGUUUCCUGCACAGUUGUAUCUUAACUAGAAUCAGUUUGUGUUAAUCAUGUUAAAUUGAAACCUUUUUCAGAGUGAUAGAAGAAUAUGUGGCAGAUUGAUUUGUUCUGUAGCCAAAGAAUCUCCACAGCAAGUCGAAGAAACGACCAUGGACAUGCGAAAGUAAUUUUUCUGAAAGACUACAAGUCACCUGAUUAUUGUUUUGGCACUGUAACAUACCUUAGCUCCUCAUCUGCAAUAUCUAAACUGCUUGAACAUACAAUUUGUGAUUAGCUUCCAUAUUCGAUAAAUGAAAUUACUUGAGUUGAUGCAUAUGCAUGCCAGUUUAUGCUCAAGUGGAUCUUAAAUUUACACUAGGUGAGGAACAAACAGUUGGCUGCUCCAACCACAGUGUUUAUUCGAGAUUCGAAGGUAUCACCAACAACUAAUUCUUCUUCAGUAUUUGGAUAUUCUCAGAUUAUCUGGCUUGUCACAAUCAAGAGUUUGCUAUAACGAGUAAGUAUUAAUACUGAGAUAUGCCAAUCGAAGAACACGACAUUAGAUGUUUGUUACUUUAUUCCCUCUCCUCAAGUCUUUGCAUAUGCUUUCUAUAUAUGAAUCUUCUUCUGUUAUUAUGUUUUUUGUCUUUUGACAAUAUUAGUUCUGAAUAUUUGAUGCAGGGUCUUUACCGGUCACUAGAAAUUUCUUCACACAAUGUGAAACAGCGGAUUUUUGGAAAAUCCUAAUUGUCGUAGUAUAUAUGAUGUAAAAACUUUUCAAUAUCAUGAGCCUGAUCAAGUGCCCCUAAUUUCAAUGAUCCAGUGAUACACUCUGGUAUCUCUGCUCCUUAUUUUAUCCGGCCUUUAAUAUAGGAAUUUCAUUGGGUUACUGAUUCUGCAAAUAUUGAAGAUAGACUUUCCAAAGCAAUAGUGUCAUUUGACAUUGAAGAUGAACAAUUCAAUUCUUAUUUACAUGGAUGGAUUCUCCUAAAAUUCCUCUUGAAGAGCGAGUGAUUAUCGAUACAUUAAAUGACUCACUUUCAUUGGUUGUUCCUCGCAAAAGUUUUCUAAACUCAAGCUUUUAUAUAUGGGUGAUGGAUGACUACGGGAAAUAGGUAUCUUGGACUAGGCAGUCCAUCACCCAUAUAUAAAAGCUUGAGUUUGGAAAACUUGUGUGAGGAAUAAUCAGUGAAAGUGAGUCAUUUAAUGUAUCCAUAAUCACGGGCUCUUCAAGAGGAAUUUUAAAAAGAUCUAGCCAUGAAAGAAAUUUGAAUUGUUCAUCUUCAAUGUCAAAUGACACUACUGCUUUGGAAAGUCUAUCUUCAAUAAUGCCUAUUUUAAAGGUCGGAUGAAAUAAGGAGCAGAGAUACCAAAAAGUAUCACUGGAUCAUUGAAAUGAGGGGCACUUGAUCACGCUCAUGACAUGGAAGAGUUGUUACAUCAUCAUGUGCACUACGACAGUUAGGAUAUUGGACAAAUGAUCUUCCUAUAGUGACAACAUAUGAGAGCGAUUUUUUUUAUGACCCUAAAAUCCAAGAACAGAAGAACACUCCAGUUUUUUGUAUUUCACAACAUUCUGCAUUUAUGUUGAAACUUUGGAAACAGUCACCUGGGAUAUUGAAUAUGCAGGAAGGGCUGUUCAGUGAUGUAAUUCCCCACCCUUGCAUAGUAUAUCUAUUAACACUGCAUGACCUAAUAUCUGAAGCAUUGUUGAAGAAUAAUAAAUUAUAACAUCCGGUUAAAAGUAUGAAAGGAAAUAUCUCCCUAAUAGUUUUAAAAUGUUACCCGCAGUUUAACACUAACUAAUGUUGCUUUUGUGAGCUUUGUCUACUUUAGUUUGUAGCGCACACACUAUUCAGUAAAACCUAAUGUGGCUUUUGGGAGGUUUUGCUCUCUUUUGUAUAGUAGGGCGCACAUCCUGUUGAGUAAUUUGAUGCAGGGUCUUUACCAGUCAUUAGGAAAUUUCUGCACACAAUGUGAAGCAGCAGAUUUUCGGAAUAUCCUAAUUGUUGUAGUGUAUAUGAUGUAACAACUCUUCAUGAAUGUCAUGAGCCUGAUCAAGUGCCCCUCAUUUCAAUGAUCCAGUGAUACACUUUGGUAUCUCUGCUUCUUAUUUUAUCUGGCCUUUAACAUAGGCAUUUCAUUGGGUUACUGAUUCUGCAGAUAUUGAUAUAGACUUUCCAAAGCAAUAGUGUCAUUUGACAUUGGAGAUGAACAAUUCAAACUUUUUACAUGGAUGGAUCCUCUUAAAAUUCCUCUUGAAGAGUGAGUGAUUAUCGAUACAUUGAACGACUUACUUUCAUUGGUUGUUCCUCACAAAAGUUUUCUAAACUCAAGCUUUUAUAUAUGGGUGAUGGAUCCUAUUUCCUGUAGUCAUCCAUCACCCAUAUAUAAAAGCUUGAGUUUAGAAAACUUGUGUGAGGAACAAUCAGUGCAAGUGAGUCAUUUAAUGUAUCGAUAAUAACUGGCUCUUCAAGAGGAAUUUUAAAAGGAUCUAGCCAUGAAAAAAUUUUGAAUUGUUCAUCUUCAAUGUCAAAUGACACUACUGCUUUGGAAAGUCUAUCUUCAAUACCUGCAGAAUCAGUAACCCAAUGAAAUGCCUAUUUUAAAGGUCAGAUGAAAUAAGGAGCAGAGAUACCAAAGAGUAUCACUGGAUCAUUGAAAUGAGGGUCACUUGUGUUAGGUAUCAGCCCAUUACAAGGUAACAUGGACUUUGGUGAUCCAAAAUAUAUAUAAGGAUAAUAAUUGUAUGUUUAGACAAUUAUUAUAAGAUAUGUCUUGGUCACAAAGAUAGAAGACCUAGUUGGAAUUGGAUUCUGAUUUGAGUUGAAGAUUUAAGAAUUGGAUUUCAAUUGCAGUUAGGUAUUUCAGAUUUAGAGUUAGAUUCUGAUUUGUCUAGUUUGAGAUGGCUAUAUAUACAUAGUCAUAUUGUGUUUGAUAGGUGUGCUCAAGAUGUAGACUUAGGUAUCGCUCGAGGGCGGAUACUUGGGUAGUAGGCUUGAGUAUCCAAGUUUAGUUUGAUUGUAUUAUUGAUAAUGGUUUUGAUUAAUAAUACAAGUUGGGACGUGGAUUUUCCACGUCAAAUAUAUUGUUGUGUGUCCGCUUUGUAUUAGAAGAUUGAAUCUCGUAUAUUAUCUCUAACAAGUGGUAUCAAGAGCCGAGGUUAGGAUCGUGAUUGAUGGGGUUGAGGAUAAAUUCGGGAUUCAAUCGAGAAUGCAGAGUAUGGUGAAUUUUGUUAGCAGGAAUAGGCAAAGUUACGUGCGGUAUGAUGGUUGACUUGCACCGUGGAUCAAUCAUGAUGGACUCAAUAUGGAAGAAGAUUAGAUGGUUCUUCUAGAUCGAGGCCGGAGGAUUGUGAAAGCAAGGAUCGGGUGACUCAUGGAUGGAAGAGCACUCGGGGUUGAUGCACGUGAUUUUGUAGAUGGAUAAAAUUUGGAAGAACGAGACAUGGAGAUUCUUGUUCGAGGGGAGGCAUUGGCGGAUGGACGUCGAUGUCUUGAUCGUGAUUGUUGAUUGUAUUGGGCUGAAGGGGAGGAUUGUUAGGUAUCAGCCCAUUACAAGGUAACAUGGACUUUGGUGAUCCAAAAUAUAUAAGGAUAAUAAUUAUAUGUUUAGACAAUUAUUAUAAGAUAUGUCUUGGUCACAAAGAUAGAAGACCUAGUUGGAAUUGGAUUCUGAUUUGAGUUGAAGAUUCAGAAUUGGAUUUCAAUUGCAGUUAGGUAUUUCAGAGUUAGAGUUAGAUUCUGAUUUGUCUAAUUUGAGAUUGCUAUAUAUACAUAGUCAUAUUGUGUUUGAUAGGUGUGCUCAAGAUGUAGACUUAGGUAUCGCUCGAGGGCGGAUACUUGGUUAGUAGGCUUGAGUAUCCAAGUUUAGUUUGAUUGUAUUAUUGAUAAUGGUUUUGAUUAAUAAUACAAGUUGGGACGUGGAUUUUCCACGUCAAAUAUAUUGUUGUGUGUCCGCUUUGUAUUAGAAGAUUGAAUCUCGUAUAUUAUCUCUAACAACUUGAUCAGGCUCAUGACAUGGAAGAGUUGUUACAUCAUGUGCACUACGACAAUUAGGAUAUUGGACAAAUGAUCUUUCUAUAAUGACAACAUAUGAGAGCGAUUUUUUUUUAUGACCCUAAAAUCCAAAAACGGAAGAACACUCCAGGUUUUGGUAUUUCACUACAUUCUGCCAUUAUGUCGAAACUUUGGAAACAUUCACCUAGGAUAUUGAAUAUGCACAAAGGGCUGUUCAGUGAUGUAAUUCCCUACCCUUGCUUAGUAUAUCUAUUAACACUGCAUGAUAUAAUAUCUGAAGCAUUGUUGAAGAAUAAUAAAUUAUAACAUCUGGUUAAAAAUUUGAAAGGAAAUAUAUCUCUGUAAUAGUUUUGAAAUGUUACGGAAAGUUUAACACUAACUAAUGUUGCUUUUGUGAGCUUUGUCUACUUUAAAUUGUAGCGCACACACUGUUCAGUUAAAGCAAUGUGGCUUUCGGGAGCUUAAUUUGCUCUAAUUUGCUUUGUAGAGCAUACAAUAUUCAGUAAAACCUAAUGUGGCUUUUGGGAGGUUUGCUCUCUCUUUUGUAUUGUAGGGCACACAUCCUGUUGAGUAAAAACUAAUGUAACAUGUGAUGGGAGCACAACAAUUUUUUGAAGUUGAUUAUUAUUAGGUACAUUUUCUAUCAGUAACCACCACAACAAUAAUGUCUGCGCGCGCGCGCACACACACACAUAUAUAUAUUCGAAAUGACAUGUCUUGUCUUGACUUAUGUUUUUUUGGAAGUAAUCUAUAUACAUAUAUAGUUGGCCAUGUAUUUUUCAGUCAUGAAAUUGAUACUAAAUUUUUUGAUCUUUUUAUCUUAAAAAUAUUUCUUUCCUUCUCUUUUAGUUUUCAAAUACUUUUAUUCACAUGUGUAUUGUUGAUGUGAUUUAUCUCUCUUGUAAUACUACCCAUUUACAGUUUGUAAAACUAGUUAUUACUAUUCUAUACUUCUACUACAAUCGGACCAUGGAAAAAAACUUUUCCCGGCCACCUGCUGCAACUUCAGUUAUGUUCUAUCCUGAGGAAAAUAAUAUCAUAUCGUCUGCAGGGAGGAUGGCUC